GGAUGUGAGGGCGAUCUGGCUGCGACAUCUGUCACCCCAUUGAUCGCCAGGGUUGAUUCGGCUGAUCUGGCUGGCUAGGCGGGUGUCCCCUUCCUCCCUCAACGAUCCAUGUGCGUCCCUCCCGAAGCUGCGCGCUCGGUCGAAGAGGACGACCACCCCCGAUAGAGGAGGACCGUUCCUCGGUCAAGGGUAUACGAGUAGCUGCGCUCCCCUGCUAGAACCUCCAAACAAGCUCUCAAGAGAACAACCAUCAACAAAUGAAAAAUACACAAUGCUGAAAGCAACUCAAGACUUCAAACAAAAAGCAGUUAGUAAGACUUGGUUGUUUUG
rnacentral:snRNA from 1 species